GACGUAGGGCGCGAGCGUUGUCCGGAUUUAUUGGGCGUAAAGAGCUCGUAGGCGGUUCGGUAAGUCAGGUGUGAAAUCUCCACGCUCAACGUGGAGGCGCCACCUGAAACUGCCGUGACUCGAGUCCGGUAGGGGAGUGUGGAAUUCCCGGUGUAGCGGUGAAAUGCGCAGAUAUCGAGAGGAACACCUGCGGCGAAGGCGGGUUGCUGGGCUGACACUGACGCUGAGGCGCGAAAGCUAGGGGAGCGAACGGG
rnacentral:rRNA from 1 species